ACUGGGGCGCUAUGGUGCCUGGAGCUGGGCAGUUUUCUCGUCAGAGUGGGGACUGAUGAUGAUUAUUCCCCACCUUCUAAGAGACAAAGACCAACGAGCCACCACAGCCACCAGUCCCAGAACCCGCCAAUGCUGGGGAACGGAAAAUGAGGGAGUUCAACUCUGAGAAAUGGAAUCAUCGUAUCGCUGAUCUACGUAAACAAACUGAAGAAUUGUCUGAAAGAAAAUAUGACAUGAACUUAUGAAUUCAACAGGUGAAGAUUUACAACUUGAUAAAUCAACUUUGUGAGCUCGAGCUGUAAAAGCCAAAGGUCUGGUGAUGAUCCCAUACCCUUUUUUCCAGUCUCAUGUUGAAGAUUUUUAUGUAGAAGGCCUUCCCAAAGGAAUUUUUUUUUUUUUUUUUUUUUGAGAUGGAGUUUUCACUCUUAUCGCCCAGGCUGGGGUGCAAUGGCGCAACCUUGCUGGUCACUGCAACCUCUGCCUCCUGGGUUCAAGAAAUUCUCCUGCCUUAGCCUCCCAAGUCGCUGGGAUUAUAGGUGCCCACCACCACACCAGGCUAAUUUUUGUAUUUUUAGUGGAGAUGGGGUUUCACCAUGUUGGCCGGGCCAGUCUCGAACUCCUGAUGUCAAGUGAUCUUCCCGCCUCGACUCCUGACAUCAAGUGAUCUUCCCGCCUCGGCCUCCCAGAGUGCUGAGAUUACAGACGUGAACCCAUGCCUGGCCAGGAAUUUUGUUUUUUAGGAAGGCUUUCUACUAAUGGAAUUCCUGGCCUUGAGAGGAUGUUACUUUCGAAGGAAAGGAUUUUUUUGUUAUUAAAAGAGCCACCUAAGCUGAAGAUUCCCUUGAGAACAAGUACUGUCCUGCGGUUUCAUGGCCUUUCUUCCAUUUGUGGUUCUUGUGAAGUGGAAUUUAAAUGACAUCUUAUCAAGAUGGAUAAACCCUAGUUUCCCAGUGCUGGAAUAUAGAAAAUGGAUGGACAAGUAAAUCCCACUCAGCACCCAUAGUCCAGGCAUGGGGACCUCAACACACCUGAGCACCAGACAUCACCUUUCAUUCUGGACCUACCAUGAAAGACUUCUGAAUCCAGGAAGAGAAACUGACUGGGCAACAUGUUAUUCAGAGAUGGGACCUCAGUAUGUUGCCACGGCUGACCUUGAACUCCUGCACUCAAGGGAUUUUCCUACCCUGGCCUCCCAAAGUAUUGGUAUUACAGGCAUGAGCCAUUGUGCCCACCGUCUCUGGUUCUUAACCUUCUGCCUCCCUCUUCCAGUUUUAAAGAAUGCUUGUAAUUACAUGGGCUCUCCUAGAUACUCCAGGAUAAUCUUGUUUUAAGGUCAGCUGAUGAGCAACAUUAAUUUUAUCUGCACUAUUAAUUCCCCCUUCCUAUGUAAUUGUGCUGUGUAACAUAGGACAUGAGCAAUUGGUGGCGGUGGGGGUUAUUACUUUGGCCACCACAGUAACUAUUUUAUGCCAGGUACUCAGCUAAGCACUGGUGAAUUAAGCAUGAAUAACACACACUCCCUAAUCUCCAUCCAUUCAUGGGAGGAGCACUUCACCUGCCAUGCUCCUGAGAAUCUCGGGAGUCAGAGAAGUCUUCUAUGAGGAGGUGAUGCCAAAGCGGACAAGUGACAGAGGAGUCAAAGCUAGCUAGGAAGGGAGUAGAGGUUUAAGGGGAAGCAUAUUAUAAGCAGAGGAUAUUACCCACUUCAGAGACUCCCAGAGGAGAAAGAGUGUGCGUUCAAGAGGCAGAUGAGGCUCAGUUGGACUCCAUAGCAGAUGAAAUGGAGAGGGGCAAGCAGUGAGGCUGCCUUGCAAGGCAGGGCAGAGCAGGGGCUGUUAAGGAGUUUGGACUUAAUCCCUGAGGCAAGGAGAAGUGAUGUAAAUGGAGGAGUAACAUGAUGAGAUUCAUGGAUUAGAGACAUGGCUCAGGCUGCUGUAGAGAAGGCACCAGGGAGAGCAGAUGGCUCAAUGGGUGUGCAGGAGACCUCUCCCUGAGUUUAGGGAGAGGUUUUUAAAACAGAAGAAGUUUGAGUAAUUUAAAUGAUGAUGGGAAGGAGCUAAAAGUGGGGGAUAGGUUAAAGAUACAGGAAAGCAGGAGGAAGAACUGACAAGUGAGGUUCCAGAGAGGGCAGGAGAAGAGGAGAUUCCCAUAGGGGGAUUAACACUUUCUUUUCUUUUUUCUUUCUAAGACAGGGUCUCACUCUGUCGCCCAGGCUGGAGUGCAGUGGCACAAUCUUGGCUCACUGUAGUGUAGACUUCCCAGGCUCAAGGGAUUUCUCCCACCCCAGACUCCCAAGUAGCUGGAACUAUGGGUGUGCACCACCACCACACCUGGCUAAUGUCUCUUUUUUUUGGUAGACACAGAGUCUCACUAUUUAGCACUGAUUGGUCUCCAACUCCUGGCCUCAAGCGAUCCUCCUGCCUAGGCUUCCCAAAUUGCUGGGAUUACAGGCAUGAGCCACAAUGCCUGGCCUCUGCUAGUUCCGUAUUCUCUAGAGUUGUCUUUACUUUGUGCUAGUGUGUCCCUCAUUGUGCUGAUCCUCUGUAAAAAUUAAUACCUUUUUUUUUUUUUUUUUUUUUGAGAUGGAGUUUCACUCUUGUUGCCCAGGCUGGAGUGCAAUGGCACUAUCUCGGCUCAGCGCAACCUCCACCUGCCGGGUUCAAGCGAUUCUCCUGCCUCAGCCUCCCGAGUAGUUGGGAUUACAGGCAUGUGCCACCAUGCCCAGCUGAUUUUGUAUAUUUAGUAGAGAUGGGGUUUCUCUAUGCUGGUCAGGCUGGUCUCGAACUCCUGACCUCAGGUGAUCUGUCUGCCUUGGCCUCCCAAAGUGCUGGGAUUACAGGCAUGAGCCAUUUUGCCUGGCCAAAAUUAAUACUUUUUAUAUUAAAUUUACAUAUAUAUAUAUAUAUAUAUGUUUUUUCUUUUUGAUACCGGGUCUCACACUGUCACCCAGGCUGGAGUACAGUGGCACAACCUCUGCUCACUGCAGCCUCCACCUGCCAGGCUCAAGCAAUGCUCCUGCCUCAGCCUCCCGAGUAGCUGGGAUUACAGGUAAGUGCCACCACACCCAGCUGAUUUUUGUGUUUUUUGUAGAGACGAGGUUUCGCCAUGUUUCCCAGACUGUUCUCAAACUCCUGAGCUCAAAGCAGUCCACCCACCUUGGCCUCCCAGAGUGCUGGGAUUACAGGUGUGAGCCAUCUUGCUCAUUCUAGUUUAAACUUUUGAGUAGUUUGUGUCUCCUGAUUGGACUCCUACAAAUACAGAAUUGAUGCUAGGAAGGGUACCAGGAGAUAGACGCACACAGAUGGGAUUUGGGAAUAGGUUUGGUUAUCCAAGGAGCAGUGCUGAGCUCCUUGCUAAUGGGAUAUGGGAUGCUGGUGAUUUCCAGGAAGUGAGCUCACAAUGACUCAAGCUGCCACAUAGUGUUGAUUGUGAAAUGCCAGUUGAAGCAUAUGUCCUGCGAGCUUGGGGGUGCUACAAGUUGACCACUGCAGCAGUAAAGAUGACUCUGAAGAAUGGCGUGGGAUGGAUCCUUUCAAAUGCACUUGAGCAGCAGUCUCCAACCACAGGGCCACAGAGCUGGAGCUGGAUCUACCAUGAAAGACUUCUGAAUCCAGGAAGAGAGACUGACUGGGCAACAUGUUAUUCAGGGUCUCCCUCUGUUGUCCAAGGCUGGAGUGUAGUAGUGCUAUCACAGCUGACUGCAGCCUCAACCUUCUAGGCUGAAGCGAUCCUCCCAUCUCAACCUCCCACGUGGCUGAGACUACAGGUGCUUGCCACUAUGCCCAACUAAUAUUUGGAAUUUUCGUAUACGUGGAUUCCAGAGGGGUGACAGCGAAAUUAGGUGACCUCACAGUGACUCAAGCUACCACUUACUGUUGAUUGUGACGAAAUGCCAGCUGAGGCACAUGCCUUGGGAGCUAAGUGGUUGCUGCACUUGACCACUGUGAAGACUGGUGUGGGAAGAAGGGUCGUUUCUGAUGCACUUGAGCAGGGGUCCCCAACCCCUGAGCCAUGGAGCCGCAAGGAGCCACACAGCAGGAGCUCCUACCUCCCGGCAGCCUCUCCAGGCCCAGAACUUUCUCCAGUCAGCCUCUACAGACCAAGCUCAUGACUCACAAUGGCCUAUUUAGGCCCAUACCCUACCUCACGGCAGUCUCCGCAGAUGAGCCUACUGCCUCACAACAGCCUCCACAGGCACAGCUCCAUCGUUACAAUGGCCUCUUUAGACCCAGCUCCUGCCUCCCAGCCUUCUCUCCAGGCCCUGAACUUUCUCAAGUCGACCUCACCAGGCCCAGCUCAUGCUUCUUUGCAGCCUCUCCAGGCCCAACUCCUGCAUCUUGGUGGCCCCUCCAGGCCCAGCCUGUGCCUCCCGUCGGCCUCUACAAUCCCAACAUCUGCCUCACAGCAGAUUCUUCACGCCCAGCCUCUGCCUCACAGUGGACCCUCCAGACCCAGAUGGUGUCUCACUGUGGCAUCCUCAGGCGAAGCUCCUGCCUUUCAGCAGCCUCUCCAGGCCCAGCUCCUCCUGCCUCCCAGUGGCCUCUUUCGGCCCAGCCCAGCUCAUGCCUCCCGGCGGCCUUCCCAAGCCCCGCUUUUGACUUUUGGUGGCCUCUGCAGGCCUCGACAAGGCCCAGCCUCCUGCCUCCCGAAGGCCUGCACAGGCCCAGCCUCUGCCUCACAGCGGACUCUCCACGCCCAGCUAGCUCUCGCCUCACUGCGGCCUCCCCAGUCCAAAGCUCCUGCCUUUCGGCCACUUCGGCAGGUCCAGCUACUGCCUGCCAGUGGCCUCUUUAGGCCCAGCUCAUUCCUCACAACGGCCUUUCCAGGCCCCGUUUUUCCCUUCCGGCAGCCUCUUGGCUUCUAAUUUGUUUAUCUUUUGUGUAUAAAUCCCAAAAUAUGGAAUUUUGGAAUAUUUCCACCAUUAUAUAUUUUGGUCGGUAAUUUAUUUGGAGUGAGUUUCUGCACCAUGCCCGAAUUUUUUAUUUUAUUUUCCUUAUUAUUUGGUGUUAAACAGGUUUAAUGACAGUCAUGGCAACUUUUUGGCACAAUGAAAAAUAUCGCCCAUGAUCAACGUGUUCUGUUCUGGGGAAGGGGGCAAAGGCAGGGUGAAUCACUUUCUUAAAAAGUAUAGCUCAAGUUGGGAGUGCAGAGGGAAUGGGGAGAAAACCCUCCCGCUGCCUGUGUCGAAGUGCAGGAGCCCCCACCCCCAUACUCACCUGAGUCCAGCCCCUCUGGGGAAAGAAGGGGUGCAUGAACUCCCCCUAGUCCACAGGCGCCUCCCUGUGGCCCAAGGCCCUCUUCACACUCCAUCUUGUAGCCCCAGCAGGAGCUAUUUUCUGAAAAGUGAAAAGCUCUGAAGGUCCCACAAUUCAUGGUAUGUACAGGGGCUCGGAGGAGGGAAACUGCCCAGCUUUCCCCCGGCACAGCUGCAGGGGUAGGGGGUAUAGAUAAGAGGAGCAGGCCUUGGCCAGGCGUGGUGGCUCACGCCUGUAAUCCCAGCACUUUGGGAGGGGGAGGCAGGCAGAUCACGAUGUCAGGAGAUCGAAAUCAGCCUGGCCAAGAUGAUGAAGCCCCGUCUGUACUAAAAAUACAAAAAUUAGCCGGACGUGGUAGUGUGCACCUGUAAUCCUAGCUACCCGGAAGGCUGAGGCAGGAGAAUGGCGUGA
rnacentral:lncRNA from 1 species